UUUAGACGUAAUUAAAGAAAGAAAAAAAGAAGAAGACAACUUGUCACCAUAGAAACCGUUUUUUUCCUGCCGCAAGAUGGAAUGCCAACAAAACACGCAUGACUUGCUUCUGUUAUCAGAAGACCCAGAUCGCUUACAAAACCUCCUUGAGCAACUUACCAAAUAUUGCAAAGAUAAUGAUCUCAACACUAAUAUAAGCCUGCUGAGAAGAACGUCAACGGCGGCAUUUCCAUGACGAUUAUAACCAUACGGGUCUACAAUUUCAUAAUUUAUCAAUGAAUCUGUCAAAAUAAUCUUUAAUUUAUCUUCAGAAAAUUAAGAUAAAUCAAUAAAGAGUUUUACCGUUUCGGACAGGGGAGGGUGUGUGU